UACGGGGGGGGCAAGCGUUGUUCGGAAUUACUGGGCGUAAAGGGCUCGUAGGCGGCCAACUAAGUCGGACGUGAAAUCCCCAGGCUCAACCUGGGAACUGCGUCUGAUACUGGAUGGCUUGAAUCCGGGAGAGGGAUGCAGAAUUCCAGGUGUAGCGGUGAAAUGCGUAGAUAUCUGGAGGAAUACCGGUGGCGAAGGCGGCAUCCUGGACCGGCAUUGACGCUGAGGCGCGAAAGCUAGGGGAGCAAACGGG
rnacentral:rRNA from 1 species